UACGUAGGCGGAAAAUUUAGUCAGUGGUGAAAUCCCGCAGCUUAACUGUGGAACUGUCAUUGAUACUGGUUUUCUUGAAUUUAGUUGAGGUAGGCGGAAUGUGUAAUGUAGCGGUGAAAUGCUUAGAUAUUACACAGAACACCGAUUGCGAAGGCAGCUUACUAAGCUAUGAUUGACGCUGAGGUACGAAAGCGUGGGGAGCGAACAGGAUUAGAUACCCUGGUAGUC
rnacentral:rRNA from 1 species